AGGUAAAGAUAUAUCAUGAUGGAAAGAGUUUGAAUAAUAAGUAGCUGGCUAUCCUUCACAAUGUAGUUGUGAAUUAGCAUGAACAAAAUUUCAAAGCUGAAUGAACAUUGAAAAUGAACAUAACAAUUAUAUCUGAACUGACUGGUAAUGAAGGUGAUCAGCCUUUCAUACCUGAUGAAUACAUGCAAUAUGUACAGAGUACAAUUCAUAAGCAUAUCUGUCUGAAACCACUCUUAAAAGAGUUUAAG
rnacentral:lncRNA from 1 species